UAUAUAUAACUGUAUAAGUUGAAUACACUGAUACAAAAGUAAAUCUAACAGAUAAACAAAUUUGAUAACAUUGAUACUAGAAAUACAAUAAUGGAUUGAUACACUUAAAAAUAUAUUGAUACAAAAACAAAUACACAGAAAUUUACCCCAAAACACCAAAUAUAGAUCCAAAUCUUAAAAAGAUAAAAAACAAAUUGAAACACUUACCAUAAAAAUCUAUUAAGAAAUCAUUUGAUCUCACAAAAAUACAGAACACAUACCCGUCAUUAUAAUAUUUUGGUACAUCAAAGAUGAUCAAGAGGAACCAUGACGAGAUUAAACCAAAAAAUACAGAAUUUAGCUAUUGAUUCAUAUUGUAACAAAACACAAAUGUCUAUCUCAUGGCCAAACCCAAAUGGUAAUAGCGAAGACUCCGCUCUCCCAAGGCGAUAGGAUAUGAGAUCGCCCCUUUCGGAUUAAGCAGGAUUCUCAGAAGAAAAUCAACUGCAAACUCAACAAAAGGGACUUUGCUCUAUGAUGAUUUUUUAAACUUGGGUUAUACAAGCAACACAAAAGAACUUGUCCCAAUUCAAUGAAAAUCAUCACAUGAAAUGAAAAUCAAAUAAAACAAAAUCCAAUACUGAUAAAAAGAUUAGUUCUUUAAUAGAAUAUCAGCCACAACAGGAUAAUCUUCACUUGUCAAAAAGCAAGAGAAGACUUGAAAGGCAUGGUGGCUGUAAAUGUAGCUUAUGUUUAAUGUUAAGUACUGUUGUCAAAUUAUCUAAACAGCACUUGACCGUCCAUAAGCACAAAAACUUCUGAAAAUCCCAGAGAUUAAGCAUCUAAUUGGUUGAUUUUUUUUCUUCAAGUUGUGUUUUAAGGCUGUGAUUAGUUCAGAAACGAAGCGAAUAAUCUACUCCAAGAUUAGUCCUAGACUAAAGAUUUAACCAAUUUCAUGUGUUUUUUCAUCAACCAAUCUACAGCUAUACAAAGAAAAUAUUUAAGCAAAUAGGAAAAUGGCUUCAGAAUUGCAGAAUAAACAGCAAGGCCUAUGGGGCCAUUCAGUCCCGAAAGAUGG
rnacentral:misc_RNA from 1 species